rnacentral:rRNA from 1 species
CCUACGGGAGGCAGCAGUGGGGAAUCUUCCGCAAUGGGCGAGAGCCUGACGGAGCAACGCCGCGUGAUCGAAUGAAGGCCUUCGGUUUGUAAAGUUCUGUUGACAGGGACGAAUAUGCGAUGCGAAUAGUUUUUUGUAUGUCCGUUCCUGUUUAGAAAGCUCCGGCUAACUACGUGCAAGCAGCCGCGGUAAUACGGAGGGAGCAAGCGUUGUCCGGAAUUACUGGGUGUAAAGGGCGCGUAGGUGGGUGCUUAAGUCAGGUGUGAAAGCUUCGGGCUCAACCAGGAGACUGCACUUGAAACUGGGUGUCUUGAGGGUAGGAGAGGAAAGUGGAAUUCGUAGUGUAGCGGUGAAAUGCGUAGAUAUCAGGAGGAACACCAGUGGCGAAGGCGACUUUCUGGACUGUACCUGACGCUGAGGCGCGAAAGCGUGGGUAGCGAACGGGAUUAGAUACCCGUGUAGUC